UAAACAUUGAUAGCUAUCAUACAAUGCUUUCCGCCAGAGAACUACAAGUGAAAAACUUGAAACUCAAAGGACUUGACGGUGUCCCAUAUCGACCUAGAGGAGCCUGUCCUAUAAUCGAUACCCCCCGUUCCACCCAACCCCAACUAGCAAUAAAACAGCCUAUAUACCGCCGUCGACAGUCUACCCUAUGAAGGCCCAACAGUAGAUACAAUAGUCCCCCACUAAUACGACAGGUCAAGGUGUAGCAAAUGCUGGGGAAGAGAUUGGCUACAUUUUUUAUGAUAAAAAAUACGAAAUGCACUAUGAAACACUGCAUGAAGGCGAAUUUAGUAGUAAAAUAAAUAAGAGUAUUUAUUUUAACAAC
rnacentral:rRNA from 1 species